GGUUUCCAGAUCUCUUAAGAGUUUUAGAAGCGGAUGGAAACGAUAAAGUGAAGAUCGAGUGCUCCGGCGAGGCGCGCUGUCGUGCAGCGGGUAUUUCAUAGCUCGGAUGGUUCCCAUGGCUGUGCCAGUGAAAAUCAUUCUCCCCGAGUGAGACAUCACUAUAGUGGUGUACGGAACAUCAUCAGAGUGAACUUCACGCAGGAUCUGAAACCGCAAGGAAGGAAGAAGAGGUUUAAUUUGUUUCCAGAUGCGUACGGAUCGGUCCAGCGAGCAGGUGGCGAUCAGCGGUUUGCGGAUACAGAUGUCCAGGCCAGUGAUAAUGCCGUA